rnacentral:lncRNA from 1 species
UCUUUCCAUUUAAAAAACACAUCCCAUGAUUUCAGUGCCGGCUGACUGACAAAGCUGUUGCUCACAUUGCUGAUGGCAAGACUAAAGAACAAACUGCUAUCUUUGCUGGUCUGCUGGAUCCAGGCCCUGCUGAGGGAAGAAACUGCACGGGUAGGCAACAAUAUCGAUACAUAGUAAUUAAAGUAUAUAUAACCAAUCAUUAAUAAUUGUGAGAUUUAUUAUUAACUAAGGAUUUUUUUUUAAAAAAGUAGUUUUAAGCUAGUGUGUAAAUACCCUGUUACACUGGCACACCAACUUCGAUCUCUUCCAAGCUGCUUCAUCAAGCUAGGCACAAAACCGAAGCUCACUUUAACGAGCCAUAUUGGUUAGCUAAUG